UAAAGGGCGCACAAACUAUGU
rnacentral:siRNA from 1 species